AGAGUUUGAUCCUGGCUCAGGAUGAACGCUAGCGGCAGGCCUAACACAUGCAAGUCGAGGGGCAUCACGAGGUAGCAAUACUUUGGUGGCGACCGGCGCACGGGUGCGUAACGCGUAUGUAACCUACCUAUAACAGGGGCAUAACACUGAGAAAUUGGUACUAAUUCCCCAUAAUAUUCGGAGAGGCAUCUCUCCGGGUUGAAAACUCCGGUGGUUAUAGAUGGACAUGCGUUGUAUUAGCUAGUUGGUGAGGUAACGGCUCACCAAGGCAACGAUACAUAGGGGGACUGAGAGGUUAACCCCCCACACUGGUACUGAGACACGGACCAGACUCCUACGGGAGGGAGCA
rnacentral:rRNA from 1 species